CAGCAGCCACGGGAAUACGUAGGUGGCAAGCGUUGUCCGGAAUUAUUGGGCGUAAAGGGCUCGCAGGCGGUUUCUUAAGUCUGAUGUGAAAGCCCCCGGCUCAACCGGGGAGGGUCAUUGGAAACUGGGAAACUUGAGUGCAGAAGAGGAGAGUGGAAUUCCACGUGUAGCGGUGAAAUGCGUAGAGAUGUGGAGGAACACCAGUGGCGAAGGCGACUCUCUGGUCUGUAACUGACGCUGAGGAGCGAAAGCGCGGGGAGCGAACAGGAUUAGAUACCCCGGUAGUCCCUGUCUCUUAUAC
rnacentral:rRNA from 1 species